UACGGGGGGAGCAAGCGUUGUUCGGAUUUACUGGGCGUAAAGGGCGCGUAGGCGGCCACCGCAAGUCAGUUGUGAAAUCUCUGGGCUUAACCCAGAAAGGUCAACUGAUACUGCGGGGCUAGAGUGCAGAAGGGGCAACUGGAAUUCUCGGUGUAGCGGUGAAAUGCGUAGAUAUCGGGAGGAACACCAGAGGCGAAGGCGGCUUUCUGGCCUGUAACUGACGCUGAGGCGCGAAGGCUGGGGUAGCGAACAGG
rnacentral:rRNA from 1 species